rnacentral:tRNA from 1 species
GGGGCCAUAGGGUAGCCUGGCCAUCCUAGGAGACUGGGGGUCUUCUGACCUGCGUUCAAAUCGCAGUGGCCCCAUCA